GGGGUAUUUAGGCUCAGUUCUCAUCCUGCUCAGUGCCCUGUCGUGGUUUCCCUUGUGCUUGUCUGAGAGCGCGUUAUUGAUUCUGGUAAUACUGGUUAUUUGACUUUGGCAUUGUUUUUUACUUCCCUGUUUUCUGGCAUCCCUGACCCCUAGCUUUUCCUUAUCGUUGUGUCUCUUUCUGUAUCCUUUGACCUCGGCUAUUCCUGAC